rnacentral:rRNA from 1 species
CAACGUAGGUAAUCUACCCCCGAAAUCUGGAAUAACCGGCCGAAAGGCUGGCUAAUACUGGAUAGAGCGACGGAAUCCGUAAUUGGGUUUUUCGGGAAAGGGAGGGAGCAAUCCCCUUCGUUUCGGGAUGAGCCUGCGUCUCAUUAGCUAGUUGGCGGGGUAAUGGCCCACCAAGGCAUUGAUGAGUAGCUGGUCUGAGAGGAUGAUCAGCCACACUGGAACUGAAACACGGUCCAG